UGCCAGCAGCCGCGGUAAUACGGGGGGGGCUAGCGUUAUUCGGAAUCAUUGGGCGUAAAGGGCGCGUAGGCGGCCAGACAAGUCGAAGGUGAAAUCCCUCGGCCUAACCGAGGAACUGCCUUCGAUACUGUUUGGCUUGAGGCCGGGAGGGGGUAGUGGAAUUCCCAGUGUAGCGGUGAAAUGCGUAGAUAUUGGGAGGAACACCGGUGGCGAAGGCGGCUACCUGGACCGGUUCUGACGCUGAGGCGCGAAAGUGUGGGGAGCGAACAGGAUUAGAUA
rnacentral:rRNA from 1 species